GUCCCCAUCGUCUAGCGGUCCAGGACAUCGGCCACUCAAGCCGAAGACAGGGGUUCGAAUCCUUUUGGGGACGCCA
rnacentral:tRNA from 1 species